rnacentral:rRNA from 1 species
GACAGAGGGUGCAAACGUUGCUCGGAAUCACUGGGCGUAAAGGGCGUGUAGGCGGGUAGAUAAGUCGGGCGUGAAAUCCCUAGGCUCAACCUAGGAACUGCACUCGAAACUGUUUAUCUUGAGUGCCGGAGAGGAAAGCGGAAUUCCUGGUGUAGAGGUGAAAUUCGUAGAUAUCAGGAGGAACACCAGUGGCGAAGGCGGCUUUCUGGACGGUAACUGACG